GUCUCUUUGGCACCAGGCACCCGCCGGGCCGUGGGGGGCUCGUAGCCGAACGCCGACCUCCGCUCGUAUUGGGCUGGGAGUUCAGAGCCGCGCGCAGAACCCGGGUUGGCCGCAACGUCUGUGUUCUCAGCGGUGGCCGGGAACCUGGGAUCAGGGUCACCUGAGCUGACGGGGUGGGGGCGGGCCGAGUGGGGUUGGAAGCCUGGAACUUAGUGGUAAGCAGGAGGCGUAGGAGGUGGCAGCCAGGUAAGAGGCACUCUUACCUACCCAACGCUGGCUUGGGCCGCAACUUUAUUUGGGAGUUUCUUUUUCCGGUGAGACAGAGACCCGGCAGAAGAAGCGGGAGGGG
rnacentral:lncRNA from 1 species